UUCUUCAUAUUUGAAGUAAUUCAUAAAAUGAUAAAAUUUUUAAGAGUUUAAAAAUGUUUAACUAUAUAAUUAGCUGAAGGUUCAUUCUGGGAAGCAGUUGCAAAUAAUUUAGAUAAUUUAGGUACAUCAUGCUAAGUGAAAUAAGCCAUUCAAAGAUAAAUACUGAAUGAUUCCACUUACAUAAGGUACAUAAAUUAAUCAAAUUCUUAGAUGAAAGUAGAAAGGUAGUUGCCAAGAGCUGGGGAAAAGGAAAUACUCAAUAAAUAGAAAAGAAAGAUGAAAAAGAUCUAGAGAUCUGCAAUACAAUGUGCAUAUAGUUAAAAAUAGUGCACUGCACACUUAAAUUUUUGUUAUGAGGUUUCUGCCACAAGUUUUAAAAAUAGGGUAGAGUCGCACCCAGGCAGGCUAAGAAGUCUAAGAAGUUUGUAUUUUGUCAUAGGCACAACAGGUACUGACAGUUUUUGCAUAGGUGGUUGACACUGAAAAGCUCAUAAAGACUACAUUGGCAGAUAUGUAAUGGCUAAGUGAGAGGGAAAAAAACAUGGAAAGAUGAAUGAGAAGACAGCUGUGAGGAUUCAAGGCCAGAAAAGGAUUACAGAAAGAGGACAACAGAAGAUGCAGUAUACAGGGAGCAGCAAAAUAGCUUAGCAGCAACUGGUCAUAGAGGGUAAGAGAAGGAAAGAAGAUGAAAUGCACCACAGGUUUCAAGCUGUGGAGACAGGAUGCUGAUGACAGACCGACAGUCAGGAGGAAAGACCACUGCAAAUAGAUCUAUAAAUUUUAUUAUAACAAUAUUUCCUCAAAUGUAUUCCAGGGAAUGUUGGUUUCUCUUAUGCCCCAUUGGAAAAGAAUUCUGUCAGCACAUACUGUAUGUCCUCUCUCAGAAAUUAGAUAUACACGUCAAUACGUUUAAUACUGUUAUGCCUUGCAAUAAAGACAUUGUUUAACCCAGCAAGUCUCACACUUUACUGGCCAAAGGGCAUUUUAAAAAAAAAAAAAAGUACCUCAUGAAACAGAAAGGAAAAGAACUUUUCAAAAUCAUUCUGUGAACAUUACCCUUAAGAGAUCUUCUGGACUGUGUCGUAAUUUGUUGGAUUUUGAUCCAAUUUCCUGCUUGUGUGCCUGCACUCACACUUUAUCAGUCAUUAGUCUUCUUUAGAAAAGGCUUGUUUCAAAAAGAACCAAUACAACUUCAUAGCUUUGAAUUUAUAAAUAUCUAGUCUAGAUUUUCCAUAAGCUAGUCAUCUGUUUCCUCAUUUCAAAAGAUAAAACAGUGUUAGACUAUGUUUUACAAAUGUUAGAUUUGUUUUGCAAAUGCAUGAAAAGCAAUACUUCCUAAUUUGCCUAGAUUUGUGCCCACAAAAUUUGA
rnacentral:lncRNA from 1 species